ensembl:lncRNA
CAAAGCUAACGCUAACUUUUAAAACAGUGAAGCAAAUUACAAACUACCUGAUUUUAUAUGGUCAUUACUACAGUUUGCGGCGUACUUUUAAGAAUUUUGUGCCUCAAAAUUAGUAUUAGCAUUGAGACAAAUAUCUCCUUUUCUAAUCAAUCAAGUAGUCAGUGAGGCUGCUGUUGUGCACAGAGCCAAAUGUCUAUUUUCCAUGUUUUGUUUCGGUGACUGGGUUGUCGCUAAAGCCAGGGGGCGCUGUUGUAAACCUGCUGAAGAAAGCUGCAUAUCUUGAAGCUCUUAAAUCACCACGGAAGCCUUUUUUCACUUUAAUUUUCUUUUGUACUUUUAAUUUCUCAGAUGUUAAGUUUGUUUGUUUUUUACUAGGACUAAGCUAUGAAUUAAUUAUUAAUUUACUAAAACCAUCUGCACUUACCUCACGCCACAAAAGUAAAAACUGAUGCACGAGUGGGAGUACUCGGUGUUGUGAGUGGACCAAUGGAUGAGCUCAAGAGACUUUGUGACUAUAGUGUAACUGAAAAGAUAAAAUUGUAAAGCAAAGUGUCUUGUUUUAGGGCACAAUAGCAGUAUGGUAUGUGCUGGUCAGAGCUGGGAUCGGACCAACAACCUGCUAGUUAGACCCUUAUUCUAACCAACUGAGCCACCGAUGCCUCGAACAAAUGUUAAAGGCAUACUACGUAACUUUUCUAGCAGAAGAUCCAUCACUUACUUGACCGAGGAUGAGGGGAGCCCAGAAUUGGACCCGCUUCCUAUUGAUUUAUAUUAGAGUGGGGCCCAUGUGAGGCUUUUUGUCAUGGGGCGCACAAAUUUCUGCUGACGGCCCUGCAAAAAAGUGUUCCAUUGGCAUUCAAUCUGUCUUUUGCCAUGGAAACGAGCAAGUUAUAGUUAAAGUAUACUGACAUUGCAGUCCUUUGGUCCACUGGUUUAUACUGUCCAGAUUUACCAAUGUACUAAUACACUGGAGGCGGCCAUUUUGUCUCGAUGUUAAACACUAUCAGUUAUUCUAAUAUGAAUAAUAGUCACACUUUUAAUAGCCUUAAUAAAACAUGAACAAAGACUUAAUUCAUAAUGAACAAAUGGUUUAUUAAGAAUGAUUCAGACUUAAUUAACACCCGAACUCAUUAAUUAAAGUUACUAAGCCUGAAUCAUUCUUAAAGGUCCUUUAUUAAAAAAAAACUCUUGUGAUAUUUCAGUCAUGUUCUAAUGCCGUUUCCUCCUCAAAAACAGACCUGGAGUUGUGUUUUGUUUGCAUUAUUAGUCUGUCUUGUUUAUUAUGAAUUAAGUCUUUAUUCAUGCUUUAUUAAGUCUAAUUAAAGUGUAGUUAUUCUAAAGUGGUACUGAAAUAUUUCGUCCAUUUGCUUUGACCAGCACGUUACUGACUUUUUUUUCACAAUAGCAACUGACAAUCACAAUAGCUGACUUUUAACAUGACGAACCUGGGAGAAUAAAUGGGACGCCCAGUGUUUCAGACUCAGUGUUUUUAAUUAAAAGCUGCUGUGCAUUCAAACAAGUGUUAAUUGGUCUGAAAGAAAAUAUUAAAUUUGGAACUGGAAUAUUGUUUUGUAAGUAAUAAAGUAUUUAAUCUGA